rnacentral:tmRNA from 17 species
GGGGGCGACCUGGUUUCGACGGGGGCAUUGAAGUUCGAGACGCGUGCCGAGCUUGUCAGGUAGCUCGUAAAUUCAACCCGGCAAAGACACAAAAGCCAACGACAACGUUGAGCUCGCGCUGGCUGCCUAAAAACAGCCCAUAGUGCGCGGUCCCCCCGCCCUCGGCCUGUGGGGUUGGGACAGACCGUCAUAAUGCAGGCUGGCUGCCGAGGGUGCCUGGACCCGAGGUGGCGAGAUCUUCCCAGGACCGGCUCUGAGUAUCCCGUCCGUGGGAGCCUCAGGGACGUAGCAAAUCGCGGACUACGCACGUAGGGUCGAAGAGCGGACGGCUUUCGGACGCGGGUUCGAUUCCCGCCGCCUCCACUG